GUUCUUGUAGUUGAAAUACAACGGUGGUUUUUCAAGCCAUUGGUCCUGGUUAAAUUCCUGGCAGGAACU
rnacentral:tRNA from 1 species